AUGGUAAUAAGCUUGAGAAAGCUCAUACAUCUUUAUCUUUUUGGAUGUCAUAAGCUCGAGCGGACACCUCGAAACAUUGGUCAGCUAAACAACCUUCAUACACUAACAACAUUUAUUGUGGAUACUAGAGAUGGUUGUGGUAUUGAGGAGUUGAAAGACCUGCGGUAUCUUAGCAAAAGGCUGGAACUGUACAACUUGAGAAAAAUAAAGAGUGUAAAGCAUGCAAAAGAAGCCAACCUCCAGCAUAAGCAAAAUCUGAGUGAGUUGUUGUUCUCUUGGGGACAUAAAAGAUAUGACGAGCCCGAAAAUGAGGCAUGUAAUGAAGAAGAAGUGUUCCAGCAUCUAGAACCUCACAGCAAGAUCCAAAUUUUGGAGUUAUAUGGAUAUAAUGGCCUACAAAUACCACAAUGGAUGAGAGAUCCUCAGAUAUUUCGGUGCUUAAGAAAACUCAUAAUUGCCAACUGGACAAGGUGUAAGAAUAUACCUGUAGUAUGGUUGUCACCCUCACUGGAGUACUUAUGCUUACAAAACAUGGGUAAACUGAAGACAUUAUGUGAUAACCUUUGUGUAGAAGGUGGAGGACACAGUACCCCUCUACAAAUUUUCCCGAAGUUGAAGGAGAUAGUCUUGGAAGGGCUGCGAAGUUUAGAGGGAUGGGCAGAAAAUAGUGCGGGGGUGGCUAUUGAUAGCUUAGUAACAUUCCCGGUGCUUGAGGAGCUAGAAUUCGACAGAUGCCCUAAGCUUGCAAGUAUUCCGCUGAGCCCCGUUCUUAAAGUCAUGAGGUUAGGAGGAUAUUUUCUAGACCUGGAGUCUUUACUGCAUAUUCCAAAGCUGCCUACAUCCCUUGAAAUUUUGUGGAUUCAAGGCUUUGGAGGUUUGGUGGCGCUGCCUUCGAACCUUGGAGAUCUGGCAAAGCUGAGGGAACUACUGGUGCAUAGCUGCAGCAGCCUGAAAGGGUUGCCUGAUGGGAUGGAUGGUCUGACUUCUCUUCGGGAGCUGGCAAUCACUCAUUGUCCAGGGAUAGAGGAAUUCCCGAAUGGUAUCCUUCAGCGGUUGCCAGCCCUUGACGACCUACGCAUAGUGGGCUGCCCCGAGUUGCAAAGACGAUGCAGAGAAGGUGGGGAGUAUUUCCACCACCUGGUCCCUAUCCCAUUUAAAUACAUCCCAGGAGAAUCAGAACCAGAAUCAGAAUCUGAAUCAGAAUUUGGAACUGGAGCAGCAGAAGCAGAAUCCAGCAAAAAGAGGUUUCUAAAAAGGCUCCUCCUUCCCUGUGGUGUUCACUCGAAGUCUGACUCUGACUCUGAGUCUGACAAUAACUGA
rnacentral:rRNA from 1 species